rnacentral:rRNA from 1 species
AACGAACGCUGGCGGCAUGCCUAACACAUGCAAGUCGAACGAGACCUUCGGGUCUAGUGGCGCACGGGUGCGUAACGCGUGGGAACCUGCCCUUAGGUUCGGAAUAACUCCCCGAAAGGGGUGCUAAUACCGGAUAAUGUCUUCGGACCAAAGAUUUAUCGACUUUGGAUGGGCCCGCGUUGGAUUAGCUAGUUGGUAGGGUAAAAGCCUACCAAGGCUACGAUCCAUAGCUGGUCUGAGAGGAUGAUCAGCCACACUGGGACUGAGACACGGCCCAGACUCCUACGGGAGGCAGCAGGGGGGAAUAUUGGACAAUGGGCGAAAGCCUGAACCAGCAAUGCCGCGUGAGUGAUGAAGGCCUGAGGGUUGUAAAGCUCUUUUACCCGGGAUGAUAAUGACAGUACCGGGAGAAUAAGCUCCGGCUAACUCCGUG